GGUUAACAGAUAAUUCAUAAUGGCGUUAAGUGUAGCUAAAUUUCCUUGUAUUGUUAUUAAGUUAGUUAAUAUAACUCGGUUUCGGCAUCCGCUUAGAAAUAUUUUAAAUUUACCAAGCUACUCAGUAAUGUGUUUCAGAAAGUCAUCAAUAGCAACUAAUACGAAAGAAACCGAUAUUUCAUCGAAUAAAAACGAGAUAUCUCAAGAAAAUGAAGACGAUGCAGAGACGCAUUUUGGAUUUGAGCGCGUUAAAGAAAAGGAAAAAGCUAAGAAAGUCCGUUCUGUGUUCAGUAAUGUUGCCACACGAUAUGACUUGAUGAAUGAUGUGAUGAGUGGUGGAAUUCACAGGUUAUGGAAGGACUAUUUUAUUCAAGUUCUGCAUCCAACUCCUGGUACAAAACUUCUGGACGUAGCUGGUGGAACAGGUGAUGUUGCUUUUCGUUUUCUACAAGCCGUCCAGUAUUUGAAGCCCAUUGAUGAACAUAUUGAACUUGAAAAUCCAUUUGAAUUACCAAGUGAACCGCUGUACAACGAAAGUAUGUUACAAGGAACUGAGUCGCACGUCAUUGUUUGUGACAUAAAUCCUGAUAUGUUGGAAGUUGGUAAGAAGAAAGCAAAAGAACUAGGUUUUGGUAAAGGAGUAUCUUGGAAAGAAGGAGAUGCCGAGAACCUGCCGUUCCCUGACUGUUCUUUUGAUGCCUAUACAAUAGCAUUUGGAAUACGCAAUGUAACACAUAUAGACCUGGUAAGGCCAGGUAGUGAUUAGGUUGUUAGAGACUCUAAUGUCUCAGCGUGUUUUAGUGUUUUAAACAAACAAAACUAAGUCAAGUUGUAAAAAUGUAAAUAUCAGUUUUUUCUGUACAAUAACGCGCAGAUGAAAUUUAUUACUUUGAGCUUCAGAAUUUGUGUUUAUAUGAAAGUUUAUUGCUAACAUAAUGUUUGAUGUUGCUAUAGAAAUACAAUGUUUAUUUUCAUGGACAUAAAUAAGUUAUUUACUUGAAUCUUUUCUUUAAACAUACUUUUUUUAGAUGAAUGAUAGCAGCAGUAUAGCAACAGUGAAUUUUAAUUCUACAUGUUAUACAGAAACAUUGGAAUUAAAUAAGUGUUUAAAAAAUUGGCCGGUACAAAACUUAGUCACCUCUCAAGUGGAUUCAGUGUUGAAUAUAUUGAUUUUAAAUUCCUUUUCAAUUUUUUAAGGCUCUUUGCGAAGCAUUCCGAGUUUUAAAACCAGGAGGAAGAUUUCUCUGUCUGGAAUUUAGUCAGGUAGACAAUGGGUUAUUAAACUGGGCAUAUGACUUGUAUUCAUUUCAAGUAAUUCCCGUGAUGGGACAACUUUUUGCCC